GAUGAACGCUGGCGGCGUGCCUAAUACAUGCAAGUCGAGCGAACGGACGAGAAGCUUGCUUUUCUGAUGUUAGCGGCGGACGGGUGAGUAACCCGUGGAUAACCUUCCUUUAAUACUGGGAUAACUCGGGGAAACGGGUGCUAAUACCGGAUAAUUUUUUGACCGGCAUGUUUUAAAAGUGAAAGAGGGUUUUGCUGUCACUUAUAGAUGGAUCCGCGCUGCAUUAGCUAGUUGGUAAGGUAACGGUGUACCAAGGCAACGCUGCAUAGCCGACCUGAGAGAGUGAGCGCCCACACUGGAGCUGAGACACGGGCCAGAGUCCUACGGGAGGCAGCAGAAGGGAAUCUUCCGCAAUGGGCGAAAGCCUGACGGAGCAACACCGCGUGAGUGAUGAAGGUCUUCGGAUCGUAAAACUCUGUUAUUAGGGAAGAACAUAUGUGUAAGUAACUGUGCACAGCUUGACGGUACCUAAUCAGAAAGCCACGGCUAACUACGUG
rnacentral:rRNA from 1 species